rnacentral:rRNA from 1 species
UACGGAGGAUGCAAGCGUUAUCCGGAAUGAUUGGGCGUAAAGCGUCCGCAGGUGGCUGUGUAAGUCUGCUGUUAAAGAGUGAGGCUCAACCUCAUAAAAGCAGUGGAAACUACACAGCUAGAGUGCGUUCGGGGCAGAGGGAAUUCCUGGUGUAGCGGUGAAAUGCGUAGAGAUCAGGAAGAACACCGGUGGCGAAAGCGCUCUGCUAGGCCGCAACUGACACUGAGGGACGAAAGCUAGGGGAGCGAAUGGG